AUGUAACAUGAUAUAGCACGCAUAUGCGAGUACUCUUUAAAAAAAAACAUUAACAAGUUCAACUCUAGUCGACAGUCCACUUAUUCCUCAUCAUGUUGAUUGUUUACUCAAAGUAAAGUAGAAGAAUUUCUGGCUUUAAAAUAACUUACAGCAUUUUUUACUCGUUUAAUACUGUGUAACUCAACAAAUAAAAUACGAAUCAUCUCAAAAAACGGUUCGAUCCUCAUAUUUGAAAGCCCAACGUAUGCAGAUAAAUUUGGAUGAUUUGCAACAGAAUCUCUAUGUUCUUCAUUCAUAAAUUCAAAUGGAUAAAACAAUAUAUGAUGUAGUAACCGUAAGCCUAUCUCCUUAUCUUACAAAUUGCGUUUUCAUUAUAUAUCUGUCUAUUUUGUAUUAUUUAUUUCUUUGUCAAUGAGUGGAUCCUCUACAGAUUUCGUGAUAUAUUUAAUGAACCUAUAUCAAUCUUCAUUUUUCAGAGGAGAGAGAGUUCUUGAAAUCGGAAUAUAAUGAAGGAAUUCGAAGACUAUGCACCAUCUAAAAUAAUGUACAGCAAUAAUGUCUUAUUCAUUUGGAAGAAAGUUAUCAUUUUCUUCAUAAAGUAGUACCUUGAAGAUGUAUUCAUGCUGGAAAUUAAAAAAAAUGGAUUAGGAAUGUCUUCUCUAUUUGAAAUUGUUCUCCACGUUUUUUUGAGAGAAAAAUCUUUUCUGGAUUCACCUUUAUUUAAAUGGUUGGGGUAAGUGAUUAAUAAGAUUGCCUUAUUAAAUUUUCAACAAAUAUUGUCAAAGGAAUUCAUUGGUUUUAUUCAAUCUUAAUUUAACUUAAAUGUUAGAGCACUGUAUUUUUAAAUGUACAAAUGUCUCUUUAAUAAGCUAUGCGGAUCAAGAUGAACAAGUCCAUCUUAUAAAACAAAUCAAUUCCAAUUCUUCCAAAAUAAAAAAAUCAACUUUUUAAAUAUAUAUUUUUUAAUCUUUGAAAGCAACCAUGUGAUUCAGAUAAGAUUGUUAUUAAAUAUAACUUUAUAAAGGGUUAAGAUUGUUGAAAAAUUGAUACUUCCUUUUUAGGUAGUCAUAGAAAAUAUCAAUUAACGUUAAAACAUUGCAGAACACAUUAUUCCAUGUGCUGCAUUCACCCACAUAUAAGUAGAAAGUUGAACGUUUGCCAAUAUUCUUAACAUCUAGAAAUAGAAAGGGAUGGAAAGGGUAUGUUUUGACACCUCCUAUAUUCAAUAUUUUGAACUAUUAUUUCCGUGCAAAUGAGUUUUAGUACUUAGGUACUUGAUGCAUAGUUUUCAGCAGAAAGUGGUAAAAUGAAUAGAUACCAUCCAUAUGCAAUAUUCUGAUAUUAAAUUGUCGCCAAAAUAUUUUUCUACAAAAAA
rnacentral:lncRNA from 1 species